UUCUUUUUAUUUUUUUUAUUUUCUUCACCCGACUUUUCUCUUCUCCUUCAUCACCCUUGCCUCAAAACUGGCUUAUCUCUUCUCAUUCAUCAAGCUUUCUUCACUUAGUUGCCUUUUUGCCAAACAACCCCGUUUCAUCUCUCUAGUCACCAAGUAUUCAAGGUCUAAAAUGUACCAGGACUUUGGGCUAUCAAGGCCAAAAAAGGCGAUGUUUUCCCUCGCCACAAUUCGAAGCCUGCCACAGAGAACCCAUCUCAGAAACCUCCCAAGUUCUACCCCGCUGAUGACGUCAAGAAACUGCUUGUCAACAAGCGCAAGCACAAGCCCACCAAGCUCAGGUUCAAUUCCGAAAAGGUUUGUUUUUUUUUUGUUUUUUAAUAAUGUAUUUAAUGCAUUUAGGCUACAUGUUAUUUGGCUUUCAUUGUUUUGUUAAUUGGGUCUGUGAACUUUUCAAGAUGAGUAUUAUACCGGGGAUGGUGUUGAUUGUGUUGGCUGGGAGAUUUAAAGGGAAGAGAGUUGUAUUCCUGAAGCAACUUUCAUUUGGCUUGCGUCCGGUGGGCAAGACCGAUCCAUACGUUUUUUUAAGCCUAGGGGACCAAGUCAUACGCAGCAAAAAGAACAGCGAAACCACAGUCAUUGGACCUCCUGGUGAACCAAUUUGGAAUCAGGUAAAGAUCCUUGUAAUUCUGCUUCGACGUCUGUGUUUAAAUGAAGUUGUAAAAGUUUUUCUAAAUGAUCAUAUAUGUUUAUAUAUAUAUAUAUAUAUAUGUAUAUGUGCUUGCUGGCAGGAUACAGGCAACUAUAGAACAUUGUCUAGUCAUAUGCAUCUUCUAUCAAGUCAUAUAAGAUAUUUGGUGAUGCAGUGGUGUUUGAUACCACUCAUUGCUUGACUGCAGUUGAUAUGCCACUUGGGAUAUGGGUUGGAAUGAAUAAUUAUGGUAUGCCUUGCUUCUUUGGUUGCUUGCUUCAACGAGAAGAAAAUUUGAGGUCUUUUUGAUGGGCAUUGAAGGUAGAACUUGGAAAAGGAGUCGCGCAUUAUGGAGCUUAGAAAUCAGGUAAUAUUUAUCUUGCUUUCUUUAGGUGGUGUCGAAAUUAUUGUAUUGAUUGUGAAACAUUUUCUCCUGUUUGUAUGGUACACAGUGCAUAAUUAUGAGAACAACAGAGUUGGCUGCUACAGAGGAGAAGCUACAUGAGCUUGAUAGACAAAAGGAAGAAAUGUUGAGAUGCAAUGAACAUGACAGAUGAGGAAUCUGAAAAUCUGCACAAGCAGCUUUUUGUGCAGAUAUACAAGAAGCUUCGCAUCACUUAAGCGAGCACUAUUCCCAGCUUGAAAGCUUCUUCCAAUCUCUUUUAAAAUGCGGCUCCAUGGUAGUAUGUCCAUAAGAGAGUAGUCAAGAGGGAAAUUGUGCAGUUGUGGAAAAUAUUUAAAUAAAUGGAUAUGAAAGUGUCGAAUAAAUGGAACCAUCUCCCAUUUCUCAUCUACCCUGAUUUUUCAUUAACUGUCGAAUAAAGUGGAAAAUAUUUAAACAAAUUGUUUUACCAUCUCCCAUUUCUCAUCUACCCUCAUUAACUUCUAUCCCUCUCUCUUCUUCUCCCUGCUACCACAUUCAAUGAAUCCUAUGUGUCUCCCUCUCUCUUUCUCUUUUGUUGGUUACGUACCUUUCAGCCGUUCUUCACACUGACCAACCAUUGCAGAAAACACAAUACCACCUUCAGUGCAGUUCAGUCUCCCUGCAUACCCCCAACCUUUUGUAAUAACAAAAAGACUGAAAAUCUUCAUUGUGGAGCCCAUAGACUUCAAAAUGUGUAAUUAAAGUAUACGUUCGUGCGCAGCAGAGUUAAAGAUUUUGGGUAUGUGCAUAUAUAUAUAUAUACAUAUACAUGUAUAUUUUCCCUUUAUAUUGGAUUCAUUGUUUGUCACGUUUUGACAUGAUAUAAAAGUGCAAGUUAUAUGUUGGUUUGAUUUUAUGUACAACAAUCCAUAAAUGGUUCGGAAAUUUCCAUUUGCAAAUGACAACCUUUAUUCGUUACAUACGGUCCAUCGGUAAUUAUGAAACACUUGCUUGUUGGAAAAUUUAACGAUGGUUCCAUCGGUAAUUACCGACAUUCCAUCGGUAUUUUAAUUUUUCCAUUUUUUGAAAGCAAACCACCUCAAUCGAAUUUGACAACUUUGAUAAUGUUAUUAUAUAUGAAGGACAUGCUAAAUGUAACUAUAUUUAUGAUCGUGAACAAAAUAAUCCACAAAUCACCAAAAUGUCAACAUUGCAUCCAUUCAAGCUAAUGUUAUGUUAUGAUUUAGCACAUGUGUCACAAACUUGACAUGUUAUUCUACUUAAUCCACUAUGUCUGUCAGGAGUUAUGUGGGAUGAACUUUUUUCUCUUUAGGAUGUAAGGAACUGGUGGAAGAUUAUUCACUCAAUUAUAUUUAUGUUGUCAGCAUAUUAUGAUAUGAUGAAGCUCUUUCACUUUAUGUUUCUAUUCAAAAUUUUAAGGACCACAAGGACCACAGCUGUUGUGGUUUGGAUUAUUGCAUGUAAGCAUCAACAUAUUUCGCCAUAUAUCCUUUAUUCGGCGCAUCACUCAGUUGACUCACUCCGUGAUGCAUAUUCAGAAACCAUAUAUCCACUUGGAGAUAAAUAUCAAUGGCAUGCUCUAGAUGAUGUCAUAAACUAGCUUGUACUUCCACCUAAGAUUGGAAAACAGUCAGGAAGACCUAGAAAGAAGAGGAUUCAAUCUCAAGGAGAGGAGCAUCAUCAAUAUAGAUGCGGGAGGUGUAAACAGAUUAGUCACCGCAACCGAUCAUGCUUAGCCGCCAUACCUCUUGAUAGCACUGCCAACCAACAGCACCAUUCAACUGAAGGACCAUAAAUCACUCUACGUUAUAUUAAGACAAUGAGGGCAUGUCAUGUGGUAUGCGUGUGUUAUGCAAUGUAGUAAGGAAUGCAAUUAGUAGCUCAACCGCGUAACAUGUGUUUUGGCAUAAUAGACAUUGGUUUUAUGUGUUGUUUUGUUGGAAAAGUCAUCUGUCGUAUUGUGUUGAUAAAAUAUCAAUGACGCUAAACAGAAAAAAAAACUCCAAAAGUUCGGAAAAAAGCUCUCAAAUU